UACGUAGGUGACAAGCGUUGUCCGGAUUUACUGGGCGUAAAGAGCGCGCAGGCGGUCGAUCAAGUCGAGUGUGAAAGCCCCCGGCUCAACUGGGGAGGGUCAUUCGAUACUGAUCGACUCGAAGGCAGGAGAGGGUAGUGGAAUUCCCGGUGUAGUGGUGAAAUGCGCAGAUAUCGGGAGGAACACCAGUAGCGAAGGCGGCUCGCUGGGCCGUUCCUGACGCUGAGACGCGAAAGCUAGGGAGGCGAACGAGG
rnacentral:rRNA from 1 species